rnacentral:rRNA from 1 species
GACGAACGCUGGCGGCGCGCUUAACACAUGCAAGUCGAACGGAAAGGCCCUGCUUUUGUGGGGUGCUCGAGUGGCGAACGGGUGACUAACACGUGAGUAACCUGCCCUUGACUUUGGGGUAACUUCAGGAAACUGGAUCUAAUCCCGGAUAGGAGCUCCUGCCUCAUGGUGGGGGUUGGAAAGUUUCGGCGGUUGGGGAUGGACUCGCGUCGUAUCAGCUUGUUGGAUGGGUAGUGGCUUACCAAGGCCUGGAAGGGUAGCCGUCCUGAGAGGGUGACCGGCCACACUGGGACGGGGAUACGACACAGACUCGUACGGGAGGGAGCGGUGGGGAAGAGAGUACAAUGGGAGGAAGGCAGAUGCAGCAACGCCGCGUGGGGGAUGACAGCCAUCGGGUUGGAAAGCGCUUUCGCCUGUGACGAAGCGUUAGUGACGGUAAUGGGUAAAGAAGCACCGGCUAACUACGUG